rnacentral:rRNA from 1 species
UACAGAGGGCUCAAGCGUUGUUCGGAUUCAUUGGGCGUAAAGGGUGCGUAGGCGGCGCGGCAAGUCGGGUGUGAAAUCUCGGAGCUUAACUCCGAAACUGCAUUCGAUACUGCCGUGCUUGAGGACUGGAGAGGAGACUGGAAUUUACGGUGUAGCGGUGAAAUGCGUAGAUAUCGUAAGGAAGACCAGUGGCGAAGGCGGGUCUCUGGACAGUUCCUGACGCUGAGGCACGAAGGUCAGGGGAGCAAACGGG